UCGCAGUGAUGACGUUUACUCCUGCCAUUCGUAGUUUCCACCAGAGGUCAUAAGACCAAAGAUGGCCCUGACCUUCCUUGGAUGUCUGAGCGA
ensembl:snoRNA SNORD14 Small nucleolar RNA SNORD14